CGGGGAGGCCUUAUGUUCGAGGGAGGCUUUAUUAUUGGAGAGGUCUUAUUUUGGGGGGAUGCCUUAUAUUACAGCGAGAGGCAAAACUGGAAGUAGGUCUUAUUUUCGAGGGAUGUCUUACUUUCGGGGAAACAGGAUGUCGCUGGUGCUCACAGCACUUUCUCAAAAUUCCAGAUUUGCCCACUGGGCAAAAGGUUGGAGACCCAUGCUAUAGAAGGCAGGUGCCUAGGAUGAAUUACACUGGAAGGCUGGCUAAGUGGACCAUGUGAAGUUCACAGAAUUCAAGAAUGGGAACCGGCUCAGAGUGUUCAGGGAACCACAAAUGUCUCCCUCCUGUUUGCGGGAUGUGACUGCCGAGCUCCGAAGAUGUCAAUUCAGCCUCAACAGAAAGGUAUAUGUUUUAUCACAGACUUUACCAACCUGGCACCCUCCAGAAGUUUUGGACUACAUCUCCCAUAAGCCCCAGGAAGCACCUCUGGGUAAAGGACCUGUCUGUAGUGCUUCUCACACUGAUGGC